CUGCCCAGUGACAAAGUUCAACGGCCGCGGUAUCCUAACCGUGCAAAGGUAGCAUAAUCACUUGCCUAUUAAUUGUAGGCUAGAAUGAAUGGAUAAACGAAAUAAAAACUGUCUCAAUUAGUUAACUAAAAAUUAUUCUCCAUAUGAAGAAAUAUGGAUAAAUUCGAAGGACAAGAAGACCCUAUAGAGCUUUAUUUUAAAUACAGAAUAAACUAUAUUUAAAAUUCGGUUGGGGCGACCAAGGGAUCACUAAUCACCCUUUAAAACAUAGAUAAAUUAAUCAAAUAAUUGACCCUUAUAAAGAUCAAAAAAUCAAGUUACCUUAGGGAUAACAGGCUAAUCCCAUUCAAGAGUCCUUAUCAACAAUGGGGUUUGGCACCUCGAUGUUGGCUUAGGGUAUCAAUAUAGCGCAAAAGUUAUAUAAAGAUGGUUUGUUCAACCAAUAA
rnacentral:rRNA from 1 species